rnacentral:rRNA from 1 species
CUUAUGACCUGGGCAACACACGUGCUACAAUGGGAAGUACAACGAGUCGCAAACCGGCGACGGUAAGCUAAUCUCUUAAAACUUCUCUCAGUUCGGACUGGAGUCUGCAACUCGACUCCACGAAGGCGGAAUCGCUAGUAAUCGCGAAUCAGCAUGUCGCGGUGAAUACGUUCCCGGGUCUUGUACACACCGCCCGUCAAAUCAUGGGAGUCGGAAGUACCCAAAGUCGCUUGGCUAACUUUUAGAGGCCGGUGCCUAAGGUAAAAUCGAUGACUGGGAUUAAGUCGUAACAAGGUAGCCGUAGGAGAACCUGCGGCUGGAUCACCUCCUUUCUAAGGA